rnacentral:rRNA from 1 species
AAGUCGAACGAUGAAGUGGAGCUUGCUCCACGGAUUAGUGGCGAACGGGUGAGUAACACGUGAAUAACCUGCCCUCAAUUUCGGAAUAGCCCAGGGAAACCUGGGCUAAUACCGGAUACGUAAACCUGUGGCAUCACAUGGUUUUGGAAAGUUUUUCGAUUGAGGAUGGAUUCGCGGCCUAUCAGCUUGUUGGUGAGGUAAUGGCUCACCAAGGCGACGACGGGUAGCCGGCCUGAGAGGGUGAACGGCCACACUGGGACUGAGACACGGCCCAGACUCC